rnacentral:lncRNA from 1 species
GAAUUCAAGCUUGGGGGAGUACUUUACAUAAAAACAUCCUUUGCCAUGUUGCUAAGUUGGUUGUCCCUACCUUUGAGACAUGCUCAAGUACUAAUCACACUACUUCAUCUCCACUUGAGUAGAACUCUAUAAAUGCUCUCAUGCUACCUUUAUUUGGUUUAGUAUAUGUCUAGGUUUGGAGUAGUUUCAUUUAUCUCUUAAUUAAGCAUGGUGCUUAGUUUAGGAAUGAUGAUCUUAUUUCCAAGGUAUUUUUAAAUUAAGCAUGAUGCUUAGGUUAAAAUGCCCUCCUAAAUCAAAUUAGACAUGGUGUCUAGGUUGAUUUUUGAGCUGAUAGUAUGCUAUAGUAGAUAUUGGAUAUUUUGUUGGACUAACCCCUGCAGGAAAACUUUCAAUAUCGACCUGGGAAGUCCUGAGAUAAACUCACAUUGGAGACAAAGAGAGAGACACAUAAAGUUUAACAAUUUACACAAGGAAGACAUAGCUCACAAGAGAUGAUCCAUGGAGGGUGCCACAAACACGAUGCACAACCGCUAAGAAAGGAAAGCUUCCACAAGGUGAUACCGUACCAUCACUCUUCAAGUAAGGUAACAUCUUAAGGUACUUGACUAUCACUUUUAUAAGCUUCUCCUUGGUUCUGGCAUUCACAUGAACAAAAGAGACAAACAUGUAUGAUUUACAACUCUAGAUUAACCAACCUAAUCGAUUCAAUAUGUUUAGUCCUUCCACCUUUGUGAUCCAACACUCCUAAUCAUAUAAGCUAAAAUGUUGCACACUCAAUCUUUGGAAGAUAUAUAAAAACAACAUAAAUAUAGAUAGAUUAUCUUUCCAUUAGGUUGAGUGAUCUGAUCUGACAAAUGUUUUAAAUGCUACACUCAUGAUCUUAUUAUCCAUCAACUUUGUCUUGCUCACUAUGCUUAAGGUUAGAGAGAACAAAUACACUUUUGGUUCUAUUGGUGUUUUCCACCAACAGGGCCCAUGCACUUGAUCUCUGCCUUGUCUCUAUGAGCAGGUACACUUCGAGCAAAAUAUGAAGGAGUUUUAUAACUCCCAGACUCCACCAAGUGAAGAACCUAGAUCUACGAGCACAAACACACUGGAGAUAUUGGACACUCAGGCAAUCACUGCCCUGAGAUGCUUGAGGACGUAACUACUGGAGUAACCCCAUUGUGGAAGUAAUUACUGACCUUCUGCCAGUCAAGAGAGGCGAUCCAGGAUGCCCCGUCAUCCCGAUCUCCAUCGGCAUGGUGGACUUCCCACAAGCACUCUGCGACUUUGGCUCCAGCGUCAACAUUAUGCCCAGGAACCUCUACGUCCGAGUUGGGAGGCCAUUCCUGAACACCUCGAGAGCUGUCAUCUACGCUAGUGCUGCCAAGAUCAGUUUCUACAUCAAGGGGAGGAAGGAGACGUUUUCCUUUGAGAACAAGACUACACAAAUCUCAGAGCAAUCCCGACAUGAACCAAGGAAGAGGACCAACAGGAGGAACAGGAACAAGCAAAUGUAGACCGAGUCAGCUAAGAUGGUCACUGUAGUUCAAGGAGGUCAAGAUCGUCGACUUAAGUCACCGUUCCUGACCAAAAAGGACGACCCAAGUAUGCCAAGCAUCCAGUGCUCCAUUAAUGGAUACAACUUCCAGAAGAUGCUUUGCGACACCGGGUCAGGCGUCAACAUAAUGGCCGCAGUCACCUAUCAGCUUCUAUUCGGAACCAUGCCCCUAAAACCGACAUACAUUCAACUCCAGAUGGUAGAUCAGACAUUCUGAAAGGUUGAAGGUUAUUGACAUGGGAGAAGACGAGUAUGAUCUACCCAUCAUCCUUGGGAGACCGUUCCUCAGCACCGUUAAAGCAAUCAUCUACAUUGGAACUAGAGAAGUCCACAUGCACUUCACCUCUGACAAGGUACACCCUAUUUUACUAACCCUAACCAUAUAGUUGAAGACUCUAAGCAGGUCAGGACAAAAAGAAGACGACGCAACCGCAACCAGAAAAGACAAAUCAUCAAGGACGGAUGGGUAGACUACAAAGGGGAAGUAGUACAGUCUGAAGACAUACAACUUGAACAGAACUGUCCUGAGGAGACCGUAGCACCGAGUCAGGUGUGGAGAGAAAAGAUAGUUAUACACGAAGAGCAGGCGCCGCCGGAACCACCGACUACGCCAUCCAGCAAAUCCCAGGACAACUGAGAAAAUGGAGAGUCCCGUUCGGAGGACUUAAAAACACCGAACGCCUUGCCAAGAGAUAAACUUGGUAGUUAUUCUUUUCCUUUCAAUUAUUUAAAAUAGUUUGCUUAGUUAAUCAGGUUCAUAUCAUCUAGAAAAGAAAAUAAAAAUGUUAAAAUAGUAAGCUCCAUGUAAGUAUGAUCAUGGCAUAAAACUCAUAAGUAUAUUCACUGUGGUGGCGUAAAAAUAAAUAUAUAUUCCUGUCCUAUAAAAAUGAAAAUAUAAAUAAGAUUGUGAUCCUACUAAAGAGAGUAACAUUUAUUGAGGAGGCUCAACAUGAUAAAGGCUAGAUAUUUAUGCUAACACUUAACUAGUUCCACAAAGCUUUGUUGUCUAUUUUGAGCUCCAUUGAAUUCAACGAUCAAAGAAGACUAGCAGACGGAGGACAUCCUAAUCGCUAUCAGGGUGCUGCCGACAUUCAAAUACACCUCCACCACCUGCUAGCUACAUCACAAGGAAUUACAUCAAAAUCCAGUUUGGGGGAGAGCACUCCCAUUUAUCUAGCUAAGUGUUUCUACUCGCGUUUAUAUUUUACUCAAAUAAUAAAAAGAUGCAUAAUCAUAAAAACCCAAAUAAAGAUUUUGUGCUUAUAUAUAUUUUGCUUAGUUUGCUAAAUAAAUAAAUAAAUAAAGUUUGCUAUGAACCCUCAUGAUAAGCUCUCAUAUAGAAAUGAUGAAUAGUUGCUCUGCCAUGACUAGUUCUCAAAAUUGAAAUCUCUCUCAAGAUUAGGCAUGACUGUUAUUAAUUAAGAUUUGCUCUAAACCUGAACUUGUGGGAAGAGUACUUGAUCUAAAGUCUAAGUUGUUAACGGAUAUGAUAUGGGAAGGUUGAGCUGCUGUUUAUCUGUUCCUAGAGAUGCUAGAAUUCCAGAGAAUUUGAUCUUUGAAAAUCUUUAAAAUGUUGCAUGAUGAGUUCCUCUAUGAUGAGAGUUUAAAUUCCUACCACAACCAUAUAUACAUGCUUGCUAGACUUUGAGCCACAUAUUUACUUUUUACUACUUAUGAGCAUUGAGUGUGGUCAAGCUAUGUAGACCCUUAGGAGCUUGUCAUGUGGUUAAAAUCAAGAUUCAUGUGCACGUUCACUCACACAUGCUGCUUCUACUCCGGAAGUACGCAUCCACAUAUAUCCACUCAUUUACAUCUCCAGAACCACCCAAAAAUAUUCUACUCCUAAUCCGGGAGAGAAUAGCCAAAAACAUUUCUAUUUUCCCCUGUGAAAUAAAUGCUCAAGUUAUCUUGGUUACUACCACUUGCUACAUUAGUUCAAGAGAUGAGUGCUCUAAAAAAAGAGAGAAAAAAAAGAAAGAAUACGAGGAAAUAAAAAGGGGCAAGUGCCCGGAACCUCGAAAGAAAAGAAAAAGUGAGACGAGAGGUAAAAAUGGACAAGUGUCCGACAGUAGAAUUAGGGGUACAAGAUGCCCACCUGAGAGAAAAGAAAAGAAAAUAUAGAGCAUUUCAUUCUCCCCAAAAGUUUCAAAAGAGCAAGGAAGGUAUUUAUCCCCUCAAAAGAGCACAAAUAGAAUUAGACGUUCACCAUUGUUAUCACCAUCAUCACCAUACACCAUUCAUUCGCCACACAUGCACAUCUUGAUUUGACUUAUUGACUUGUUCUUCUGGAUCCAUGGUUUGACUAUGCAAUAAAUGUCUUGUAAGUAUGUAUUAGCUGUCUCCCACCUAUGAGCUCCAGAUAUCAAAACUUUAUUAGAGUAGGGUGAGAGAGAAGGCAUAUACCAUUACUGCCUUGGUAAGGAUCUAGAAAUACCACAAAAGAGAGAUCUGAGAGAGUCAUACAAGGAAUCUCUGAGUUUUAUUUGAAAAUCUGCAAAAACUCCAGAGCUAUAGUUAAUCGAAGAACAAGAGACAUGGCGCUUGACUAGACCGUUCUAUCUUUUAACUACUCAAGACAGAAGUGACGGUUACAAGUCCCAUGGUGGAAGGUAAAAUGAGUAAAUUUAAAUCUUAAAAGUUUACCCUAACCCAGAGAUGAGAUCUUGUUUGGACGCAUGUGUACCUUUAAGGCAUGAAACCACUGCAGAAACUCUUGAGUUCAUCUUUGCUCAGGGACGAGCAAAGGUUAAGCUUGGGGGAGCUUGUUGACGGUCCUUAAUGCUCACAUUUAACCAUCAACUAAUCAUAGAAAAGGAUCCAAAUGCAACCAACACCUAGACUUAGGGUUUUAUCUGACAGAAUUCCACGAGUUUUGGUGUUUGUCUAUUUCUGCAGGGGGUUAUCAGGAAAAACGGAAGAAAGGCCCACACGUCGGGAUUACAUAGAGAUAUUAACGUGUCGUGCAAUUAUCUUACAUCUGGAAGACUCCAGAAGCCACGGGAAGGAAGCGGAGGCCGAACUGAGCCACGCACUGGGCGCCCGCCCAGUUGACCUAGGCGCCCGCCCUCACAUAGAGUCCAAUCAGGACUCUCUUUCGGGAUAUUGCUCCAUCGACCUAAAGGAUCAAGGAUAACCGUUCAAUCAAUGUCGGUUUGAUCCAACGGCCCAGAUUCACUUGAAGAGACUAUAAAACCAGACCCCAUGGCCCCUGGAGAUCAUACCUCUUCUACAGAAUCAAAGCUAGGGUUUCAAUUCUUCAUCCAAGUAGAGAGGAUCCCUCUAGUUCUUCUAGUUCUACCUCUAGUUCAUCUAGAUCUAGUUCUAGUUCAUCUAGUUCUAGUUCUAGUUCCUCUAGUUCUAGUUCUAGUUAGUUCUAGUUGUAAUCUAGAAAAUAGG